AGAGUUUGAUCAUGGCUCAGGACGAACGCUGGCGGCGUGCUUAACACAUGCAAGUCGAGCGGAAAGGCUUCCUUCGGGAAGUACUCGAGCGGCGAACGGGUGAGUAACACGUGGAUAAUCAACCUCUUGCUCUGGAAUACCCCGGGGAAACUCGGAUCAAUGCCAGAUAAAGUGCGGCGCUGUCGGGCGUCGUACCAAAGAUAGCUUCGGCCUUCGGCGAGAGACGAGUCCGCGGCCCAUUAGCUUGUUGGCGGGGUAAUGGCCCACCAAGGCUACGAUGGGUAGCUGGUCUGAGAGGAUGAUCAGCCACACUGGGACUGAGACACGGCCCAGACUCCUACGGGAGGCAGCAGUGGGGAAUCUUGCGCAAUGGGCGAAAGCCUGACGCAGCAACGCCGCGUGCGGGAGGAAGGCCUUCGGGUUGUAAACCGCUUUCAGGGGAGACGAAGCUUCCAGGGUUAAUAGCUCUGCGGAGUGACGGUAUCUUCAGAAGAAGUCCCGGCUAACUACGUGCCAGCAGCCGCGGUG
rnacentral:rRNA from 1 species